rnacentral:lncRNA from 1 species
CCAUGGCAGUGGUCAUCUGAUGGCUCCCUCGGCGUCUGCUGUGGGGGGUUUCAACCCCGGAGUGCCGGCUCAAGGGUUGAAUCCUGCUCUUGGACAGGCGCUGACCGCUUUGCUUACUAACCAGGGAGCUGGUUUGGGUCUUGGAAAUCUGCUUGGAGGGCUUGGUGGUGCCCCCGUUAACCAGACUGGGCCACCUGCCCCUUAUGGGAAUCAGCCUGCAAUGGGAUAUGGGAACCAGCCAGCAAUGCAGCAGGGAUACCAGAAUC